GUAAAUAACUGCGAGAUAAUGAAUAACAAGUUGAUAAUUGUCUAUUCUCUGCUAAUUAAUGUACCUGCAAUUCACCCUGAUUCAUUUGUGAGACCACCGACACUAAUAAUAUUACCUCAAAGUUAGAGGUUCUCCGUUACUGGGAACUUCAUAUCGGAUCCGAUCAAUUUAUUGGUUCCAUUCCCCCUAGUAAUAAUGAUCCAUUUGCAGUGACGAUGACAAUCAAAGUUUAGGGCAAGAAAUAUAGAAGAUAAAGAAAAAUAUAGACAAUUACAACUGUACAGUAGAAAUGAUCGGCAAAACAAGAUAAACAGAAGACAACAAGGCCUAAAUGGUGCAGAGACUUCUUGGUUUUCAUGAUCAUCAACAGAUCAAUACAGAAGAGGAAACUUAAGGUUAAUACUUUUCUACAUUGUGUGCUAAUUGGAUUAAUGUGAAAUGAAAUGUGUGCUUACCUGGAAAAAGAAAAUAGGAAAUUUCUACAAAAUGGCUGUAAACAAAAUGGAGUACAAUCAUAGAUGCACAAGAACACAAUUGUGUAAUUGCAACAACCUACACUGAAGGAUUAGGGAGAAAUGUAGAAAAAAAAAGAAAUAAACACCUGCUUUAUCCAUUCAUGUACAUAGCUCUGUCAUAUCAACUAUAUAGAGGAAGAUGUUUGAAGAACAAAUUGCAAAAAUGUAUUCUCUACCAAUUGAAGGAAGAUGUCUGGUGGAUGGAAUUAUUUAUGCACUGAACUGUUUUGUAGGGGAUUGAAUAAUUGUACGCAGCAGAAAAGUUAAAUUAACAUGAAAAGUGGUUAUUUUAUUUAAUCCGCAAAUAUGAGCACAAUAUUAAUAACAUCACAAAUAGUAUGAUAUUCAUAGCAUUUUGCUUAUUAUUGUAUUGUCUCAAACAGCUAGCCUAUUGUUUUUGUAUGUCAUGUUACUCAUCAGUGAACAUUUUUUUAAAGUUUUAAUUA